rnacentral:rRNA from 1 species
UUGAACGCUGGCGGCAGGCUUAACACAUGCAAGUCGAGCGGAGAUGAGGUGCUUGCACCUUAUCUUAGCGGCGGACGGGUGAGUAAUGCUUAGGAAUCUGCCUAUUAGUGGGGGACAACAUUCCGAAAGGAAUGCUAAUACCGCAUACGUCCUACGGGAGAAAGCAGGGGAUCUUCGGACCUUGCGCUAAUAGAUGAGCCUAAGUCGGAUUAGCUAGUUGGUGGGGUAAAGGCCUACCAAGGCGACGAUCUGUAGCGGGUCUGAGAGGAUGAUCCGCCACACUGGGACUGAGACACGGCCCAGACUCCUACGGGAGGCAGCAGUGGGGAAUAUUGGACAAUGGGGGAAACCCUGAUCCAGCCAUGCCGCGUGUGUGAAGAAGGCCUUAUGGUUGUAAAGCACUUUAAGCGAGGAGGAGGCUACUGAGACUAAUACUCUUGGAUAGUGGACGUUACUCGCAGAAUAAGCACCGGCUAACUCUGUGCCAGCAGCCGCGGUAAUACAGAGGGUGCGAGCGUUAAUCGGAUUUACUGGGCGUAAAGCGUGCGUAGGCGGCUUUUUAAGUCGGAUGUGAAAUCCCCGA